AUUGAACGCUGGCGGCAGGCCUAACACAUGCAAGUCGAGCGGAUGACGGGAGCUUGCUCCUUGAUUCAGCGGCGGACGGGUGAGUAAUGCCUAGGAAUCUGCCUGGUAGUGGGGGACAACGUUUCGAAAGGAACGCUAAUACCGCAUACGUCCUACGGGAGAAAGCAGGGGACCUUCGGGCCUUGCGCUAUCAGAUGAGCCUAGGUCGGAUUAGCUAGUUGGUGGGGUAAUGGCUCACCAAGGCGACGAUCCGUAACUGGUCUGAGAGGAUGAUCAGUCACACUGGAACUGAGACACGGUCCAGACUCCUACGGGAGGCAGCAGUGGGGAAUAUUGGACAAUGGGCGAAAGCCUGAUCCAGCCAUGCCGCGUGUGUGAAGAAGGUGUUCGGAUUGUAAAGCACUUUAAGUUGGGAGGAAGGGCAGUAAGCUAAUACCUUGCUGUUUUGACGUUACCGACAGAAUAAGCACCGGUUAACUCUGUGCCAGCCGCCGCGGUAACAC
rnacentral:rRNA from 1 species